UACAGAGGGGGCAAGCGUUGUUCGGAAUUACUGGGCGUAAAGGGCGCGUAGGCGGCCUUCUAAGUCGAACGUGAAAUCCCCGGGCCCAACCCGGGAACUGCGUCCGAUACUGGAAGGCUUGAAUCCGGGAGAGGGAUGCGGAAUUCCAGGUGUAGCGGUGAAAUGCGUAGAUAUCUGGAGGAACACCGGUGGCGAAGGCGGCAUCCUGGACCGGCAUUGACGCUCAUGCACGAAAGCGUGGGGAGCAAACAGG
rnacentral:rRNA from 1 species